rnacentral:lncRNA from 1 species
CUUUAAUUUGGCCGUAGCAUGUAUAUAUAAUACAUGUCUCCUAAUUAGAGUCUAAUUCUAAUUCAAUUAGAAUUAUACUCCUAAUUAUAAUCCAUAUAUGCCAAAUUAAAUCUAAAUAAUAUCUAAUCCCAAUUAGAUUAGGAUUUAUCCUCAAAUUUAGAUAACUACAAAUCUAAACCANUUAGUUAAGGCUAGCGAGACAAGUUUUACAUCGUCUGAUGCUUGUGAGUGUGCUUGAACUUGACGAGUAUGUUAAGGCUUAAAGGGGGGAGAAAAGCAACAAUCCUAGAAUUUAGAAUAGUCCUAUAUAUGAGAUAUAAUAAGGUUAAAUCUUUGAACUCAACUAUAAUAUUUUAAAUGGUGCUUAAGCUCAAGAGGCUAAGAAGGUUAAGCGUGUUAGGGCUAGAGUAGCCUUAGGAUGGCUGA